AUGACAUUUUGCACAAGAGGGAAAUGGACAAGAAAAAAAUCACGAAUCUAAAUCAACUCAUCAAGGCUCUGCAGCAACAAGUGGAAUUGGCGAUGAUGCAGCUUGACAACAAGGAUGAGACUAUUUACAAGAAUGAUCUUGUUAUUCAACAACAAAACACCUCUCUAGAAGAGCUGACUGCCGUUUUACAGGACUUGAGAGAAAAAACUAAAGACCUGGAG